rnacentral:tRNA from 1 species
GGAGGAUUGGCCGAGUGGCAAGGCAGCGGCUCGCGCUGUGUUCGAGCAGAGGCGAGUCGUCGUCGGGGAGUCCGUGCCCCGCGCGCGUUCGAUCCGCGCAUCCUCCA